AUGGCUGCUGCUGCUGCUACUCAAACUCGUGUCAUGGUGCUACCCUUCCCCGCGCAGGGCCAUGUCAUCCCGCUCAUGGAGCUGUCUCGCAAGCUCGCCGAGCACGGCGUCGAGGUGGACUUCGUGAACACCGAGUUCAACCACGACCUCGUCAUGGAAGCAAUGGCAGAGAAGGGAGCAAUUCCUGACGGGAUCCACAUGCUCACCGUUCCAGACGGCCUGGGCCCUGGAGACGACCACGCGGACAUCGGCAAGUUUGUCAAGGACCUGCCGGCCGCCAUGUCCGGCCGCCUCGAGGAGAUGAUCAGAUCGAGGAAGAUCAGGUGGGUGAUCGUAGAUGUGUCCAUGAGCUGGGCACUGCAGGUGGCCACCGCGGCGGGUGCCCGUGUUGCCUCGUUCUCGACCUACUCUGCAGCCGUGUUUGCUCUGAGGAUGAACCUCCCCAAACUGAUAGAGGAUGGUGUUCUUGAUGAAAGUGGGAAUGUACAGGGGGAGGGGAAGAUCCAAAUGGUGCCGCCCAUCAACGCGUCGGAGAUCCCCUGGGUCAGCCUGGCCAGCACCAGCGCUCCCGAGAGGCGCAGAAACAACAUCCAGAACGUCCUCCAGACCAACCUGUCGCUGCCACUCGCCGAGGUGGUCAUCUGCAACACCUCCAUGGAGUUGGAGCCCGACGCUCUGGCCCUGCUCCCCAACGCGCUGCCUCUCGGCCCGCUGGUGGCGCCCACGUCGAGGCCGGCCGGGCACUUCUUGCCCGAGGACCUCGCCUGCCUCGCCUGGCUCGACGCGCAGCCCCCCGGCUCGGUCGUCUACGUGGCCUUCGGCAGCUCCGGCUUCCUGGACGCGACGCAGUUCCAAGAGCUCGCCGACGGGCUCGCGCUCUCCGGCCGGCCGUUCCUGUGGGUGGUCCGGCCAGACUUCACCAUCGGAGCAGGGCAGGAUCAGUUCGACCUCGACGCGUUCAGGCGGCGCGUGGAGGGGCAGGGGCUGGUGGUGGGCUGGGCGCCGCAGCAGCGCGUGCUCUCGCACCGCUCCGUGGCCUGCUUCGUGUCGCACUGCGGGUGGAACUCGACCGUGGAGGGCGUGCUGCACGGCGUGCCGUUCCUGUGCUAG
rnacentral:rRNA from 1 species